rnacentral:misc_RNA from 1 species
AAUAAGCAAGCAUGAGUUCCUUAAAUUCAGACAUACAUAAGCAUUUAAACCUACAACAAACCCAAAAUAGCGAUAGGCAACAUAGAAUCAAAGCUUAAGAAAGUGACUUCAUUAUGCCAAAAGGUAGCAACAACACAUAAUUACUCGUAACUAAAGUAUGCUUUAAACAAGGAAAUUCAUGCUUUCUUUAAGAAGUAGAAAUCAGAAGAGGAAAAGUUGUCAAAACGAAACAAAUUUAUCAUCCUAAGCUUAAGAAAAAGAAAAGCAAUAACAACUUUUCAGUCGACCCAAAUGAAACAUAAAGCGAGAACCAAAAGGGAGAUAAACUAAACUGAUAUCUUCGCUGUUGAGAAAUCGAAUUAGCGCUAGUGAAUACUAGAGGCAACCAUUGUCAUGCUAACUCAAAAUCACCUCACUAUAUGAACUAGCAGCAGGAUCCAACCAAAACGAACAUAACAAGCUAUAACGACUAAAACAAAGAAGCCAAGGAACUCCAGACAAACCAAGAUUAUAGACUAGAUACAACCAUACAACAAGAAAGCCGCAAAAGAACAAGCUGGGGAACGAGAGGGUUACAAGUAGUUUACCUUUUAUGGUGCAGCAAACUGGGAACAAACGAGCAGAAGCGAGAACGAACUUCCACAAUCGCACCCGCUGCGACGAAGCAAAACGUAUCUUUUCGACUUCUUUUCAACUCCCUGUGUGAUGAAAUUCUCUCUAAAACGAAGAAGGAGAGGAUCAUUCGACUCCACGACUCCGAU